GGUCCCUCUGCUCAGUUGGUUAGAACGUGGUGCUAAUAAUGCCAAGGUCAUAGGUUCGACACCUGUAUGGACCA
rnacentral:tRNA from 1 species